UGGGGAAUCUUGGACAAUGGGCGAAAGCCUGACCCAGCAACGCCGCGUGAAGGAUGAAGUAUUUCGGUAUGUAAACUUCGAAAGAAUAGGAAGAAUAAAUGACGGUACUAUUUAUAAGGUCCGGCUAACUACGUGCCAGCAGCCGCGGUAAUACGUAGGGACCAAGCGUUGUUCGGAUUUACUGGGCGUAAAGGGCGCGUAGGCGGCAAUUCAAGUCAUCUGUGAAAUCUCCGGGCUUAACUCGGAACGGUCAGAUGAUACUGCUUUGCUAGAGUGCAGAAGGGGCAAUCGGAAUUCUUGGUGUAGCGGUGAAAUGCGUAGAUAUCAAGAGGAACACCUGAGGUGAAGACGGGUUGCUGGGCUGACACUGACGCUGAGGCGCGAAAGCCAGGGGAGCAAACAGGAUUAGAUACCCCAGUAGUCCCUGAGCGGGCUGGCAAGGCGCAU
rnacentral:rRNA from 1 species